AAUAUCCUACGGGGGGCAGCAGUGGGGAAUAUUGCACAAUGGGGGAAACCCUGAUGCAGCGACGCCGCGUGAGUGAAGAAGUAUCUCGGUACGUAAAGCUCUAUCAGCAGGGAAGAAAAAAAGUCUUUGGCUUUGGACGGUACCUGACUAAGAAGCCCCGGCUAACUACGUGCCAGCAGCCGCGGUAAUACGUAGGGGGCAAGCGUUAUCCGGAUUUACUGGGUGUAAAGGGAGCGUAGACGGCAGUGCAAGUCUGGAGUGAAAGGCGGGGGCUCAACCCCCGGACUGCUCUG
rnacentral:rRNA from 1 species